rnacentral:ncRNA from 1 species
CUACGGACUUGAUUGUAUUGAGCCUUGGUAUGGAAACCUGCUAAGUGGCAACUUCCAAAUUCAGAGAAACCUGGAAUUAAAAAAGGGGCAAUCCUGAGCCAAAUCCAUGUUUUGAGAAAACAAGCGGUUCUCGAACUAGAACCCAAAGGAAAAGGAUAGGUGCAGAGACUCAAUGGAAGCUGUUCUAACGAAUCGAGUUAAUUACGUUGUGUUGCUAGCGGAACUCCCUUCUAAAUUAGGGAAAGAAGGGCUUUCGAAAUCUAAUACACACGUAUAGAUACUGGCAUAGCAAACGAUUAAUCACAGAACUCAUAUCAUAAUAUAGGUUCUUUAAUUCUUUUUUAAAAUGAAAAUAGGAAUGAUUAUGAAAUAGAAAAUUCAUAAUUUUUUUAGAAUUGUUGUGAAUCCAUUCCAAUCGAAUAUUGAGUAAUCAAAUCCUUCAAUUCAUAGUUUUCGAAAUCUUUUUAAAAGCGGAUUAAUCGGACGAGGAUAAAGAGAGAGUCCCAUUCUACAUGUCAAUACUGA